CAGCCAUACCACCCGGAACGCACCUGAUCUCAUUCGAUCUUGGAGUCUAAGCAGGGCCCGGCCUGGUUAGUACUUGGAUGGGAGAAAAACAUCAGGCAUCUG
rnacentral:rRNA from 1 species